CAAAACAUGAAAUUGACCAUAGGAAAGGAAUAUGUAUUUUCGCUUUAGACUUCCACAAAACCUUCAAGUCAAUAAUUGAAGUUUCGAGGAAACACAGUUAGAAAGUGCACAUGAAUUCAUCUAUACCCACUUGGAAAGUGCACGAAAGGCUCGCUUCUACUUUUGGUGGUGCUUCUUCGUUGCAGUUUUAGUUGUGCUGUGAGAUCUGGUUUCAUCAUUUAAGGUUUUCUGGUGUUUGUUCUUUCUGGGUUUUCUAGAUCAAUGGCUGAUUCUUAUGAGUCAUCAUCACCUGGGAACUUUCCUUCAUCAUCAUCUUCUAGGCUUACUCCAUGUUCUGAUGAAAUAAAGGACUCAAUUAGUCAAAGCAUAUUCACCUCUUCAGGCUCCAAGGCGAGGCCUUGUCAAAACAUAUCCAUCUCUUCAGGCUCUGAGGCGAGGCCUCGUCAAAACAGAUCCAAUUCAUCUUCUUGUGCAUCAAAUCGUUUGAUUAGCCAAAACAUAUCCACCUCCUCAUGCUUUGAGGCGAGAACAGGUGUGAAGCUUCAAGUCCUCUUUACAAAGAAGCUGACAGAUGCUGAUGUCAAGUAUCGAAUGGUGGUUCCAGUUGGAAACUACCUGCAGGACCUUUUCCAAAUACCAGAAGGUGAACUUUCGAAACAGUUAAUUGUUAUUGACAUGGACGAUAAUUCUGUCAAGAAGUUCACCUGCUCCAAACGCCGCAAUGGCCACCCUAAACUUGUGCUCAGUAAGGGGUGGAUUGGUUUCGUCAGAGAAAAGCAUCUGGUAGCAGGUGAUGAAGUGAUCUUUUAUAUGGAGGAAGAUGGAACUGGCAGAAUUACAUUCAAAAUCCUGGCCCGAAAAAUUCCAUGCGUGGUGUAUGGUUGUGAUUUGAGGAAUUAUAUUCGAAUUACAACAUAUUUUAGGCAGCAGUAAGUAAUUCCUAACGUUCAUGUUCAAAAAUUUCACAAGAAAUGCUUGGUGUUGUAUGAAGAAUUUCAAUUUGGCCUAAGAAUGAUGGAAUUUAAAUGAUAGGUUAUAAUGUGUUAUUUGAGUAAAUUUUAAUUGCGUGAAGAAUGUUAUGGCAGUUACGAAGGUGCUUCAGGUAGCCUUAGCCAUGGGUCUAGACUAUUCUGAAUUUACAGGAUCGGUGAUUUGAUAGAACCUUGAUUUAAUCAGUUCUCACUUUGUUCGAUUUUAGUUUGAAUUUCAAUUCAAUCUGGUUUCAUUUUCUACUUAUUUUGUUUUGAUUUUGGUUUUAGUUUUAAUUUUGGUUUAAUUCAAUUUUAGUUUCCACUUGAUUUGGUUUUUGUUCAACUUGGUAGGUUAAAUCAUUGUUUUCGAUUCCAGUUCAGGUUUGGAGGAAUAAACAGGUUCACAAGUUGAUUCUUGAUCAGAACUAACAGUUUCAACUUAAUUAUGGCCAAGGGUUAUACUCAAUCGGACCGAAGGGAUGGCUUCCCAUGAUUUUUCUCCCUUGUAGUUCUUGGCCGAUUCAAGGGUGAUUUUGAUUUUAGUUUGAUUUAUUCAGUCUGAUUUUGAUUUGGUUUUAAUUUUAAAUUGGCCAUAUUAAUUUUUUUAAGGCAAUAGAUUUUAAAUAAUUAGUUAUUUAGUAAAUAUUAAAUGAAACAUGUAAAAAUAAUUGUUAAAAGAAAAAAAAAUUAACUGUGUACUUUUUUUUCUUUUAAAAUUAUAAAGCAAUAAUUCACCAAUAAUUUUAAAAUAAUUUUUAGAUAUUAUUAAGACUUUUUUAUUAAUAAAAAUUAACCAUGUAAGUAAUUUAAUUAUUAAAUUUAAAGAAAAAAAUUGAUUGAUAAUUAUUUAGCGGUUAUAAUUUUAUAGGACUCAUUUGUGUAUACAUGUGUGUAGAAUAUUUUAUAUGAAAUCAUUGGGAUACUUUAUAAUUGUUCACUGACGCGACCCCACAUGCCUAGAUGCAUCUGGGCUUUGCUGGUAGCCCAAACGACGCUGCACCUAGCCCAAGCAUAACGGCACAUUGUAUAUAUAAAUAAUUAAUUAAAUAUAAAAUAUAUAUU
rnacentral:misc_RNA from 1 species